rnacentral:rRNA from 1 species
UACGUAGGGAGCAAGCGUUGUCCGGAAUCAUUGGGCGUAAAGCGCGCGUAGGUGGCUUCGUAAGUCCGUUGUGAAAGUCAAAGGCUCAACCUUUGAAAGCCGAUGGAUACUGCGGAGCUAGAGUACGGAAGAGGCGAGUGGAAUUCCUGGUGUAGCGGUGGAAUGCGCAGAUAUCAGGAGGAACACCAAUAGCGAAGGCAGCUCGCUGGGACGUUACUGACACUGAGGCGCGAAGCGUGGGGAGCGAACAGG